AUUAAGAAGGCAAAAGAAGCAAAACAAUGGGAAGAGCAAGAAAAGAAGAGAUUGGCUGAAGAAGAGAAACAAAGAAUUGAAAGAGAGAAACAGAAAGAGA
rnacentral:ribozyme from 1 species